UGAAAUCUCGAAGCUCAACUUCGAAACUGCGUCUGAAACUGCUAGUCUAGAGUGUCGGAGGGGGAAGGGGAAUUUCACGUGUAAAAAUAAAAUCCGUAGAAAUGUGAAAGAACACCGGGGGCGAAGGCGCCUUCCUGGACGACUACUGACGCUGAGGCGCGAAAGCGUGGGGAGCAAACAGGAUUAGAUACCCUGGUAGUCCACGCCGUAAACGAUGAACACUAGUUAUUGGGGGUAUUGACUCCCUCAGUGACGCAGCUAACGCAUUAAG
rnacentral:rRNA from 1 species